rnacentral:misc_RNA from 1 species
GGCAAAGAUGAUUGUAAAAUGUCCUCAGUUAGUUGCUUUGCAAGUUGGCCUCAUGAAAAAUAGUUAUUACUUUUUCAAGAGCGAUAUGGGUCGACCAAUGGAAGAGCUUUUGGACUUUCCAGACUACUUCACCUAUAGCUUGGAAUCAAGAAUCAAACCCAGGUACCAGAGGUUGCAGAACAAGGGAAUGAGAUGUUCUUUGGGUUGGUUUCUCAAUUGUAGUGACCAAAGAUUUGAAGAG